ACGAACCGUGCGAACGUUGUUCGGAAUCACUGGGCUUAAAGGGCGCGUAGGCGGGCUGUCAAGUCUGGGGUGAAAUCCCGCGGCUCAACCGUGGAACUGCCUCAGAUACUGACGGCCUCGAGGGAGGUAGGGGCGAGCGGAACUGUGAGUGGAGCGGUGAAAUGCGUUGAUAUUCACAGGAACUCCGGUGGCGAAGGCGGCUCGCUGGACCUCUUCUGACGCUGAGGCGCGAAAGCCAGGGGAGCAAACGGG
rnacentral:rRNA from 1 species